CCAGCUGGCGAGGCUUUCUCUCUCUCUCUCUGUCUCUCUCUCUCUCUCCCCCCUGUACCCCUCAGCUCUCUCUCUCUCCCCCUGUACCCCUCAGCCAGGGCCCAACAAAAAAUAGGGCCUAAGGAAAAGAGCCCUGGGCUGGGGCUCCACAGAGUUGCGUUUGGAGGCCUGGGGAGGAGGGACUUGAAUUUGGGCCUGGAAUGUGGGAUCAUGAGCAACAAUGGAGGAAGGCGCAGAGGCCCCCAAGACCUGUGGGCAUGAGCACCAUGAGCCGCUCGCCCGGGGAAGGACAAGAAUGAAGGCCCUGGUCAGCUGAAACAGCCCACGACUGCCUCCUGAAACACUGUGACGAGAGAAAACCCGACCUUCAUCCGGGCUUGAAAUCAUCCCUUCCUUUCCCACUUCCAAACUCCCCCCAGCCUCAGUUUCUCCCCACAGCCCCUAUGUGAGGAAACCACAGUGGGAAACACAGGGCUGAAGCGUUCCUAGUGGACAAGACCAGGUCCUUCCACAGCCUCCUUAACCUUCUGUGGGUCUGAUAUACCGCAGAGAAUACUGGGAAUUGCCAAGGCCGUCUCUGGGAAGUCUGCAGAUGCCCGUGUGCCCACAACAGGUCCGCCUCUGAGGCCCAUGUGGGAGUCCAGCCCCCUUUCUCCUCCCCUUCUCAUUCCUGUGUUCCCCACAGGCCCAGGGGAGGGACCCAGCUGGAAGCACUUGGGGCCCUGGAUAGGCCACUGAGGAAGGGGGGUGUGGUGGCAGGGUCACAUACGCCCCACAUCUGUAUGAGGGGUGUCCACCCAGGUGCUAGCUGCAGUGGGAGGUUCGCAAGGCCCGAACAGCCGGUGGGUCCAGCAGAGCAGGGCAGUUGUCCCAGGCCCGCGGUGUCACGGCUGGUGAACUCCGAGGACAGCGCAUCUGAGUGUGGGAUGUCAGCGAGUGUGCCAAGCAGGGGCGAGCAGCUCUUGGGGGUGCUGCUGUGAUGAGUGGGUUCCUCUGCUCCUGACUCCUCCGGCCAGGCCGUCAGGAAGACCAGCCCAUCACGGCAGUGCAGUCACCAAGUUUCCAAGCUGCUGUGUAAGCCGUGGGCAUAGAACCGCCAGCGGGAUCUCAGCAUCCACGGUGCUCACUCUAGGAAGAAGGCAACAGGCUUUGGGACCUGGCUUUACCACUCCCUAGCCUGUGACUUGGGCCAGUCUUUUAGCUUUUCUGGGUCUCACCAUUAUCAUCUGUAGAGUGAGAUAAUUACACUUUUCUCCCAAGGUCACUAUGAGGACUCAAAAUGCUCAAUGCGUCCCUGCUUGCGGAGGCGAGGCUUGCUCAGAGUCAGGAGGGCAGGACUGUCUCAGGCAGUGAAAGGAGGAUGGGGCUGGGCACGGUGGCUCAUGCCUGGAACUCCAGCACUUUGGGAGGCAGAGGCAGGUGGAUCACUUGAGCCCCAGACUUUGAGACCAGCCUGGGCAACAUAGUGAGACCCCAUCUCUACGAAAAAAUACAAAAAUUAGCCGUGCAUGGUGGCAUGAGCCUUGUAGUCCCAGCUACUUGGGAGGCUGAAAUAGGAGGAUUGCUUGAGCCUGGGAGGUCAAGGCUGCAGUGAGCCAUGAUCAUACC
rnacentral:lncRNA from 1 species